rnacentral:rRNA from 1 species
UACGAAGGGGGCUAGCGUUGCUCGGAAUCACUGGGCGUAAAGCGCACGUAGGCGGAUUUCUAAGUCAGGGGUGAAAUCCUGGAGCUCAACUCCAGAACUGCCUUUGAUACUGGGAAUCUCGAGUCCGGGAGAGGUGGAGUGGAACUGCGAGUGUAGAGGUGAAAUUCGUAGAUAUUCGCAAGAACACCAGUGGCGAAGGCGGCUCACUGGCCCGGUACUGACGCUGAGGUGCGAAAGCGUGGGGAGCAAACAGG